rnacentral:lncRNA from 1 species
UACACGGAGCACGCCAAGCGCAAGACCGUCACUGCUAUGGACGUGGUCUACGCGCUUAAACGCCAGGGCCGCACCCUCUACGGCUUCGGCGGUUAAGGCUUUUUAUUUCUAUUUUCUUAACCAAAGGCCCUUCUCAGGGCCGCCCAAAUUCUCUGUAAAAAGAGUUGUGAUGCUUGAGCCACCCAAUAUUGCAAUCCAGAGAAUAUGGAGAAAUUGAGAAAAUAAACAUUAAAAUUGUCUACA